rnacentral:lncRNA from 10 species
AUAUUAUUGUUUAUCAGUUUAUUUGAUAAAUGUUUCUUCUUUAAAUCCAAAAAGGAAAUUAUGGGUUUAUUUGUCUUUGAAUUAUGGAGUCAUUUCAUUAUGACUGAAGUUCAAUUCCCAGUCUUUUUGUCCCUUUAUUAUCAUUAUAGCUUAGUAAGUGGCUGCAGAAAGAGAACCUGAAAGAUAUAUAUAUAUGUAUGUGUGUGUGUAUAUAUAUAUAUAUGUGUGUGUGUGUAUAUAUAUAUAUGUAUGUAUAUAUAUUAUUUAUUGCCAUGGCAUCAAAGAGUGGUGGAAAUAAAGAAAAACUUAGAAGUAGGUAGAACAGGUACAGUGUUUCCUUACCAAGUUUCUAUCUUAUGGCCUUCUCUGAACUAUUGUUAAUUUCCUUUACUUAUGCUGACUUCUGAUGACAGAAAAUAUCCUGCUAACCACCAUACUCAAGUCUACAAUACUGAAGAUGUUUCCACUUUCUCUCAGGUCAGGAAUCUUGUUUUGCUCAGCGUGGUGGUUCUGGCUCAACAUCUCUCAGGAAAUUGUACGCCAGUGUCGCAAUUAUCUCAGAGCACAACUGGGGAAAGAUUUCUUCCAAACUCAUUCACAUGCCUUUUGGAUGACCUCAGGUCCUUGCUGGAUCCCGGCUGAAAACAUCAGUUCUUUGACAUGUGUGCACCUUAAAACACUGUAGCUUGAUUCCCUCACAACAAGUGAAUGAGAAUGUAAGAGAAGGCACCCAAACCAGACCACAGUCUUUCAUAACCUAAUUAGAAAUGACAGCCCAUCACUUUUGUAAUAUUUUGUUUAUUAGAAACAAGUCAUUAAAUCAACCACCCUUAAGGGGAAAGAAUUACAUGACAGUAUAAAUGCUAAGAGGUAGAGAUCUUUAGGAGUCAUGUUGGAGGCUGCUGACCAUACCCAUGUUCCAAAAAAAAAAAAAAAAGGAAAGGAGAAUUUUCACUUCAUUCCUCAAUUAAAUGUUAUCUUAGAAUUAAAACUAAAAAUUUACCUUAUUUCACAAGUUCCCAUAUGUGCUCUAUCUUGGUUUUAGGAAAUGAUGGAAUAUGCUUGGCUUUCAUUCUAGAGUGAGGAGAACAGAAAAAUAUAAAAAUACAACAAUAUAAGUCUCAUGAAGAAAAAAAUAAAACAGAGUGAUAGGAUAGCAUGAUGGGCUGAUGAAAGAGAGGCUAAUUAUUUUGAUUAGGCAAGGUUUAUAUGAGAAAGUACUUUUAAAAUGAGAACUGAAUAACAAGGAAUUAGCCUAUGUUUUCAUAGGGGUAUUGUCAGGAGUAGAAUAUUGCAGCAACGGGAAGAAUAAAGCAAAGAUUUAAGGCAUGAAAAUCCUUGAUAGGCAAAUUAUAGGAGUUUCUCGAGACUGAUAUAAAGUUAAGAGAACCAGAUCUUCUAGAACCUUGUAUAUCAUGGUAAGGAUUUAGACUUAGUAGAAGUGCAAUGGAAAGCUACUGUGUAUUCUGAGUGGUUGAAUACCUAUUUAUAUCUAUCUAUAUCUAUAUAUAUUUUAGAGACCGUCUCACCCUGUCACU